rfam:Gossypium hirsutum cultivar TM-1 chromosome 8, whole genome shotgun sequence
AGUCCAUGAUGUGGACACUUCUAAAUCAACGUCUUAAAACUCUCCCAAGCUUCGUAAAACUCUCUCCCUCUAACUGUUUGAACAUGGAAAUCGACCUUCUUAGACA